UACGGAGGGUCCGAGCGUUGUCCGGAAUUACUGGGCGUAAAGAGCUCGUAGGUGGUUUGUCGCGUUGUUCGUGAAAACUCACAGCUCAACUGUGGGCGUGCGGGCGAUACGGGCAGACUGGAGUACUGCAGGGGAGACUGGAAUUCCUGGUGUAGCGGUGGAAUGCGCAGAUAUCAGGAGGAACACCCGUGGCGAAGGCGGUUCUCUGGGACGGUACUGACGCUGAGACGCGAAAGCGUGGGGAGCGAACAGG
rnacentral:rRNA from 1 species